rnacentral:tRNA from 1 species
CGCGGGGUGGCGCAGUGGUAGCGUGCUGGGUUCAUGUCCCAGAGGCGGCGGUUCGAUUCCGUCCCCCGCAUCCA